CUGGGACAGGAAGGGCUGUGGUUACCGCUGCUGACAAUCAGCUAGGAUGAAAAGAGGAAGGCAUUGCCACAGGUCUCAGCUAACAGGGAACGGAAGUUCCCAAACUGGGGCUGGUGCAUCGUGUCUGUAAAGAGCACGGUGAAUACGAUGGAGGAGUUCGGUGCCGGGAUAUUAGUCCUUAUGUCUGGAGUUAGGCUAGAGCAAGCAUUCCCGGUCCUGCAGGGAUGCCUUCAGAGCCCUGAUCAUCCUGAGGCGGCAGGCUGUCAGGGCUCAGGGCACGGGCUCUGACUCCUCGCACCAGUACUUCCUAACUGGGCCACUCUGGGCCUUCAACUCUUCAUCUGUAAAAUGGGAGCAACAGACGUCGCCUCACGGAGCCAGGUGUUCAUUACAGAACACGGUCCACAGGUCACUUCCAUGAACGCCUCUCAGACACAUCUACACAUCAUUUCUCAACUACUUGCCAUUUUGCAAACAACUGUUCCAAAGAUCACCAUCAAAUGCUAAGAGCAUGAAAAGCAUGGAAGUCAAUCUAAUAAUGACUAGUUAUCCUACAAACCGCUGCAAGAACAGAGCUUCUCAAUCAAAAGCUUGUGUGCAGGACAGGUGGUCCUAGCCCCACAGACCCCAUGUUGCUGGAUUCCACACCUGGAUCCUAAUGGUACUACCACAGACUGGUUAACUUGGCUUGAACGCACGCAAGCUCCUCCUCCUUUGUUUAUCUGGACUUAA